rnacentral:misc_RNA from 1 species
ACACCCUCAAGCUUUGCUUGGUGUUGGGCGUCUGUCUACGGACUCGCCCCAAAGGUAUUGGCAGCGGUCCUGCCGGGCCUCCUAAUCGCGCAGCACUGUUCGCGCUUCUUGGAGCCUGUGCGGAUUUUUUGCAUCCAUCAAGCCCAUCCUUUUUUUUA